GGACGGGGCCCGCACAAGCGGUGGAGCACGUGGUUUAAUUCGAUGACAAACCGAAGAACCUUACCUGGGUUUGACAUGUACGUGGUACGGAUCUGAAAGGUGAAGGACUUACUCUUCGGAGUGAGAGCGUACACAGGUGCUGCAUGGCUGUCGUCAGCUCGUGUCGUGAGAUGUUGGGUUAAGUCCCGCAACGAGCGCAACCCUUGCCUUUAGUUGCCAGCAGUUCGGCUGGGCACUCUAAAGGGACUGCCGGUGUUAAACCGGAGGAAGGUGGGGAUGACGUCAAGUCCUCAUGGCCUUUAUGACCAGGGCUACACACGUACUACAAUGGCCGAUACAAAGGGCAGCGACACUGCGAGGUGAAGCCAAUCCCGUAAAAUCGGUCUCAGUCCGGAUUGGAGUCUGCAACUCGACUCCAUGAAGUUGGAAUCGCUAGUAAUCGCAGAUCAGCCAAGCUGCGGUGAAUACGUUCCCGGGCCUU
rnacentral:rRNA from 1 species